ACCGAAAUAGCUCAGUUGGCAGUGUUAGACUUUGGAGCAAGGGUCAGUGGUUCGAUCCCGGGUUUCGGCA
rnacentral:tRNA from 1 species